rnacentral:rRNA from 1 species
AUGAAGAUGAAUGGUGACAUUCAGUCCUUUUUUCGGAAUUAUGAGGCUGCUAAAAGAAAGAGGGUUGCAGCCGAAGAGCAACCUGAAGAUACAGUGUCAAAUAUUGAAGAUGAAGCAGUCCAUAAUCCACCUCCAGUCCAUUCUGCAGAGAUUGAAUUUGAUAUUGAAGAUGAAGCAGUCCAUUCCGAUGCAGAGACUGAAAGUGAUUGUGAAGAUGAAGCAGUCCAUUCUCCGUGUGCAAGGCCAUAUAAUAUUCAAAGGCUUCCUCCUGAUCCAGGGGAGAGGAUUCCUAUUUCAGAGUUUGAUGAGGUUAAUACGGAGUUGCUUAUUUGCAUGUCGGCUUUGAAUCCCCUCAAUUCAUUUGCUUCUUAUGAUGCACUUAAGUGUUGA